GGGAAUCUACCCAUCUCUGCGGAAUAGCUCUGGGAAACUGGAAUUAAUACCGCAUACGCCCUACGGGGGAAAGAUUUAUCGGGGAUGGAUGAGCCCGCGUUGGAUUAGCUAGUUGGUGGGGUAAAGGCCUACCAAGGCGACGAUCCAUAGCUGGUCUGAGAGGAUGAUCAGCCACAUUGGGACUGAGACACGGCCCAAACUCCUACGGGAGGCAGCAGUGGGGAAUAUUGGACAAUGGGCGCAAGCCUGAUCCAGCCAUGCCGCGUGAGUGAUGAAGGCCUUAGGGUUGUAAAGCUCUUUCACCGGUGAAGAUAAUGACGGUAACCGGAGAAGAAGCCCCGGCUAACUUCGUGCCAGCAGCCGCGGUAAUACGAAGGGGGCUAGCGUUGUUCGGAAUUACUGGGCGUAAAGCGCACGUAGGCGGAUAUUUAAGUCAGGGGUGAAAUCCCAGAGCUCAACUCUGGAACUGCCCUUGAUACUGGGUAUCUUGAGUAUGGAAGAGGUAAGUGGAAUUGCGAGU
rnacentral:rRNA from 1 species